UGGUCGAAUUUGAUAAAGUAAAGGUGUUAAAACAAUUGUUAUGAUGUUUCUUCAAAAUGAAAUGCCUUUUCACUUAUCAAAAUUUUCUGUCAUUUCGAAUAUUUUACAGAUAUAGCUUGUCCUAAUUGCAUGGGACACUUUAUAUAUCUUUCCUAGCAAAAGAGUUGAUAAAUCCUAUUCGUUAAGUUGUAUACUUUAUGGUAGUUCUGCAAUUAAAAACUGCGUUUUAUCCGAUUUCGUAUGAUCAUUCGCUGUUGGCAAAGAGCUAUAGCAAUCGUCCGAGAUAUUUCGACGUGAAUCGUUGCUGUUGGUUAUUUUGUUCGUCUUUUAGCGUGUUAGCUAUUACGUCAGGAGGUAUUAUGAAAACGUGAUUCAGGGGAGAGUCUCGAGAAGAACGCGACAUACGUGAGAGACGUGACACACGAGUAUACACUAAGAACAGGUUGUCAAGAGACGAAGAGGAGGAUAACCAGUGACCUCCUGCCUUCGAAAGGCUUUAACCCUCGUUAGACCAGGUGACAGUUUAUCUUUACAUGUGCCACUUCGUCAUGCUCCACUUUGCCAUUUUACCAGCCAGUGUCUUUCAAUCUUUGUCUCUUUUCUUCUAAUGUUCUUCGUUUGAUCUUGAAUGUGAAAAUAGCGAUAAAAAAUAAAGCAAGAUGACUCGAGAAUUAUCAUAAUAUACAUAGGAGCAUAGUAUUCUCUUUAGAACGUCAUAAAACUUUAUGGUCAUCCACGCAAUGUGCCAGCUAUUUUCAUAUGCUCUGUUUAUAUCCCACGUUUCAAUGCUUCGAUACAGGCUUCACGUAUUGUACCGAGGAUCAACAAUUCGUUCGGCGCCUGUUGGGUACAUUUUAUCCUCAGAGAUAAAUAAGUCAGCGUGUGAAGUCAAAAUUAUUUGCAUAGCAGAGGAUGUAACGAAGAUCUAUGAAAUCAUAGGAUGAGAAGAAUUUUUCGAUACUUUAAAUUUAGAAAUAUAUAUAGAGAGUUGAGAUUCUGAGAUAACGAAAUAGUAAGAGUGUUUGUAAAUUUACACUUUUUACAUAUUUUCACGGAGUUAGAAAAUAAUUAGCAAAAAAUUCGCAAAAGAACAGGCCAA